rnacentral:rRNA from 1 species
AGUGAACGCUGGCGGUAGGCCUAACACAUGCAAGUCGAACGGCAGCACAGUAAGAGCUUGCUCUUACGGGUGGCGAGUGGCGGACGGGUGAGGAAUACAUCGGAAUCUACUUUUUCGUGGGGGAUAACGUAGGGAAACUUACGCUAAUACCGCAUACGACCUACGGGUGAAAGCAGGGGAUCUUCGGACCUUGCGCGAUUGAAUGAGCCGAUGUCGGAUUAGCUAGUUGGCGGGGUAAAGGCCCACCAAGGCGACGAUCCGUAGCUGGUCUGAGAGGAUGAUCAGCCACACUGGAACUGAGACACGGUCCAGACUCCUACGGGAGGCAGCAGUGGAGAAUAUUGGACAAUGGGCGCAAGCCUGAUCCAGCCAUACUGCGUGGGUGAAGAAGGCCUUCGGGUUGUAAAGCCCUUUUGUUGGGAAAGAAAAGCAGCAGGUUAAUACCCCGCUGUUCUGACGGUACCCAAAGAAUAAGCACCGGCUAACUUCGUG